AUGACCACUAUUCAUACACUUCUUGCCGUUGCCUCUGCACGCCACUGGUCUAUAUCUCAGCUUGAUGUUAAGAAUGCCUUUCUUAAUGGUGAGCUGCGUGAGGAGGUGUACAUGCAGCCACCACCUGGGUAUUCUGUUCCUGAUGGCAUGGUAUGUCGUCUUCGUCGCUCUCUCUAUGGCCUUAAGCAAGCCCCUCGCGCCUGGUUUGAGCGUUUUGCCUCUGUGGUCACUACUGCUGGUUUUUCAGCAAGUGCUCAUGAUCCAGCAUUGUUUAUUCACCUUUCUCCUCGUGGUCGGACUCUUCUUCUUCUCUAUGUUGAUGACAUGAUCAUCACUGGGGAUGACCCCGAGUAUAUUGCCUUUGUAAAAGGCCGUCUUAGUGAGCAGUUUCUUAUGUCUGAUCUUGGACCUCUUCGCUACUUUCUUGGGAUUGAAGUCUCUUCUACCUCUGAUGGCUUUUUUAUAUCCCAGGCAAAGUAUAUCCAGGAUCUUCUUGCUCGUGCUGCUCUUACUGACGAGCGCAUUGUUGAGAAUCCUAUGGAGCUCAAUGUUCACCUCCGUGCUACUGAUGGUGAUCCUCUCCCUGACCCGACGCGUUAUCGUCAUCUCGUUGGCAGUCUUGUCUAUCUAGCUGUCACUCGUCCGGACAUCUCUUAUCCGGUUCAUAUUCUGAGUCAGUUUGUCUCUGCUCCCACAUCGGUUCACUAUAGUCAUCUCCUUCGUGUUCUCCGAUAUCUUCGGGGCACGAUCUCUCACCGUCUAUUCUUUCCUAGCUCCAGUUCUUUACAGCUUCAGGCCUAUUCGGAUGCUACGUGGGCUAGUGAUCCUUCUGAUCGCCGUUCACUUUCUGCUUACUGUGUUUUUCUUGGCGGUUCUCUCAUUGCCUGGAAGACGAAGAAACAGAUUGCAGUUUCCCGUUCGAGUGCUGAGGCUGAGUUGCGAGCCAUGGCUCUUUUGACGGCAGAGGUGACUUGGUUACGGUGGUUACUUCAGGAUUUUGGUGUUUCUGUCACUACACCGACUCUGCUCUUAUCUGACAGUACAGGUGCUAUUAGCAUUGCGCGUGAUCCUGUGAAGCAUGAGCUCACCAAGCAUAUUGGUGUUGAUGCUUUCUAUGUGCGCGCUGGUGUGCAGGAUCAGGUUAUUGCUCUUCAGUAUGUGCCUUCCGAGUUACAGUUGGCGGAUUUCCUGACGAAGGCCCAGACUAGAGCACAACAUGGCUUUUAUCUCUUCAAACUCAGUGUUGUUCCUCCACCAUGA
rnacentral:rRNA from 1 species